UACGUAGGGAGCAAGCGUUGUCCGGAAUCAUUGGGCGUAAAGCGCGCGUAGGUGGCCUCAUAAGUCCGCUGUGAAAGUCAAAGGCUCAACCUUUGAAAGCCGGUGGAUACUGUGGGGCUAGAGUACGGAAGAGGCGAGUGGAAUUCCUGGUGUAGCGGUGGAAUGCGCAGAUAUCAGGAGGAACACCAAUAGCGAAGGCAGCUCGCUGGGACGUUACUGACACUGAGGCGCGAAAGCUAGGGGAGCGAACAGG
rnacentral:rRNA from 1 species